rnacentral:rRNA from 1 species
UCCAUCUCGAACACAGCCGUUAAGCCCUUCAGCGCUGAUGGUACCUGGAAGGAGACUUCCCGGGAGAGUAGGUCGUUGCGUCU